CUAAGUAGAAAGCAAAGAAGUGAGAAUAAUAGAAAGCAAAGAAGCAAAGAAGUGAGAUAAAUAGUGAGUGACAGUAAUAUUGUAGUGAGAUAUUUUAAAUAAAGAGUGUUAUUUCUUUCAAAAUUGUAGUAAUGUCUUGACACUACUAAGUUGUAAUAUUGCUGCGCUCGGGUAUUGUAUUUACCCCGUUAAAAGAGUGGGUGUCAUUGUUACUCUCUUGUGUUAUUAUUAUUUUUCGUGGAUAUUAUUUCUGGGCGGAAUUAUUAUUUUUCCCCAACAUACUUGACGCAAAUUCUUGAAGAAUAACAAUAUAUAGCACGUACAAAAUAACAGCAUUCGCACGUUUGAUAUUCAAGCACUUAUCACAUUCUUUACUAUUUAGUUUUCAUAUUUAGGUGCAGACAUCAACAUGUCAGGCUUUUCCUUUUGCAUCACAUAGUCACAAGCCAUGAAUGAAGAAUCGUUCGUUAAUACCAGCUUUGCAAUAUUUCCUGAUCUCACUGACAUCUCACAAAAUGUAUGGGUCCUUGUAUCCUUGACAACACGUAUUUUUUAUGCAGUAUGUAAAAUAAACACCAAGUAGUUCUCGAUAUAUACAUUUUGUGAGAUGUCACUGAAAUCUUUGGUAUUAAGAAACAAUUCCUUCAUUCAUGGUCUUUGGCCAAGUGAAGCAAAAGGUAGAGAAUGCGGUAACUUAUCAGUCUAGUAAAGCCUUUAAUUAGGCCCUAAAUUUUGAGGUCCCAAAACUUUUUAAUAAUAUAUUUUAUCAUUUUCUCUCUUAGAUAAUAAUGAAGUCCAUAGAUUAAAAAGAAACAAUGUGGAAUCUUUACCAAAAGAGAAAGAUUGUCUUCUUUUUAAUAGUAUAAUAUUUUAAAGUUUUAAAUUAAAUUAUUCAAAUCUCUAUAUUAGUAAACAAAAUUUUUUACAAUGAUAUCCAAGGUAAUAUAUUGCAAAUAUAUGGCUAAUUUCUAAUUAACAUGAAUUAACCUUUACUACUAUAAUAAUAAUAAUAAUAAUAUUUCAACUGUGAAACUGGGCAACUCUGUAAAGCAUAACAAAUUAAAGUAUUUAUAAGAUUUUGGAAGUUUAUAUAAUGCACGCUAGCUCGUCCUAAUUUCAAGCACUUACCACAUUCUCUAUUUUCUGAUCUUCGAGAUUAGGUGAGAGACAUGGACAUGUCAAGCUUCUUGCUCUUGCAUCACUUGGCCAAAGACCAUGGAUGAACAACUGUUCCGGAAUACCAGAUUUGCAAGGAGUUUUCCCUGAUUGUAAUUGCAUGUCAUAGAAUGUUGGGGUCAAUGCAAUACGUAUUCCAUAAAAUGGUAACUUGCUUGACACCUAGUUCUUGGUUUAUAGCCGUUAAAAUCAAUAUAAUUAGUAGCAAAUAGCUCUCCAUAAUAACUUGUUAGCAAUACUAUUAAUGUACUCAAAGUAAUAAUGCAAGGAUGGCAUUAUAU
rnacentral:lncRNA from 1 species